rnacentral:lncRNA from 1 species
CGGCCGCCGCGUGACGUGGCACAGCCAGAGCCUAAAGGCUAGAGCCGGAGCUGCCGCGCCAGUCGCCUAGCAGGUCCUCUACCGGCUUAUUCCUGUGCCGGAUCUUCAUCGGCACAGGGGCCACUGAGACGUUUCUGCCUCCCUCUUUCUUCCUCCGCUCUUUCUCUUCCCUCUCGUUUAGUUUGCCUGGGAGCUUGAAAGGAGAAAGCACGGGGUCGCCCCAAACCCCUUCUGCUUCUGCCCAUCACAAGUGCCACUACCGCCAUGGGCCUCACUAUCUCCUCCCUCUUCUCCCGACUAUUUGGCAAGAAGCAGAUGCGCAUUUUGAUGGUUGGAUUGGAUGCUGCUGGCAAGACAACCAUUCUGUAUAAACUGAAGUUAGGGGAGAUAGUCACCACCAUUCCUACCAUUGGUUUUAUUUUCUUAAUGACGCUGCACAGCGGUCAUUUUUGUUUUUCUUUGUAGGUUUUAAUGUGGAAACAGUAGAAUAUAAGAACAUUUGUUUCACAGUAUGGGAUGUUGGUGGUCAAGAUAGAAUUAGGCCUCUC